GAUGAACGCUAGCGAUAGGCCUAACACAUGCAAGUCGAGGGGCAUCACAUGAAGUAGCAAUACGGAUGGUGGCGACCGGCGCACGGGUGAGUAACACGUAUGCAACCUGCCUUCAACAAGGGGAUAACCCGUUGAAAGACGGACUAAUACCCUAUAACACAGGGGUCCCGCAUGGGAAUAUUUGUUAAAGGACAACCGGUUGAAGAUGGGCAUGCGUUCCAUUAGCUAGUUGGCGGGGUAACGGCCCACCAAGGCAACGAUGGAUAGGGGAACUGAGAGGUUUAUCCCCCACACUGGUACUGAGACACGGACCAGACUCCUACGGGAGGCAGCAGUGAGGAAUAUUGGUCAAUGGACGCAAGUCUGAACCAGCCACGUCGCGUGAAGGAAGACGGCCCUACGGGUUGUAAACUUCUUUUAUACGGGGAAUAAAGUGCCCCAACGCGUGGGGUUUUGCAUGUACCGUAUGAAUAAGGAUCGGCUAACUCCGUGCCAGCAGCCGCGGUAAAU
rnacentral:rRNA from 1 species